rnacentral:lncRNA from 13 species
UUUUCUUUUUGAUUCAACGAAGCGCGAAGAAUACUUUCCUGUAUAAUUGCCCUAAUGGCCUUUGCCCUCUCCACUGCGGAACGCAGGAAAAUGAUUCCUCCAAGUUAAAAAGUGCGUCUCAGAAAUCUGUUAGAGAUUACGACGAUAAACUGGGUGCGAACAAUUUUAAUACGUACCUCAUGAGAACACUCCAGAUAUGCUAAACGUGUAAGUUGUUCUAAUUCAAUCUUUAAUGAAGCUAAAUCUUCUUCGAAUUUCUGUUUUUAGUUAGAAAAUAGCGCGUGAAAAGUUUGAAAAAUCGUGUCUUUCUCCAAAGUGCAGCUUAAGCUUAGAUUUAAUUUCUUCACAAUUUAAAUUUUCUAAUUUUGUAACUCCGUCCAAAAUUGAACGAGCUUUUCCUCGCUGUUAACACAACCGCCUUCGUCAUAUUUUUCCCAUUACAUUUUUCCAAUUACACGCCCGCGUGAUUAAUUCGAAUUGCGUUAAAUACUCUUGAAGCGGAAUACUCCUGUUGUACGAAUCGGUCUUUAACGCCGAGUUUUGCGUUCCCGGGAGAGAACUUUCACGGACGGAGCAUUAGAAGAAAUAAUUGGAAAUGACUACUUGUAAAAUACAGUCGUUCUUUCAGAUGUUGCAGCUUCUCCUCACGUUCCUACAGCAGCGCUCGCAUCGUUUUUUUUUUUCGUUGUCGCUGUCUCUGCUUUUCUGCACCUAGUUGUUCUCAAACUCGGCCAGCACCGCUAAAAAAUGGGCACCAAUGUGUUUAGGGGUAAAGCGAACCUAUUUGCAGUUUUUGCUUUCUAUAAGUCGUAAAUAAAGUUCGAUUGUAAAACCGAAG